rnacentral:lncRNA from 1 species
AGGGAGAUAAGAUCUCUGGCUUCAAUCUGCUCCACUGUAACCUCAGGGAGAUAAUAUCUAAACUUCUUCGGUCUACUCCACUGUAAUCUCAGGGAGAUAAGACCUGAUGCAAUCUACUUUGCUGUAACUUCAGAGAGAUAAGAUCUUUUAUUUUAAUCCGCUCCACCAUAACUUCAGGGGUGUGGGUAACUUCAUUGAUCUGUUCUCUGGGGAACAUGACCUGUAUAAUGAAC